rnacentral:rRNA from 1 species
GGGGUUCUGAGAGGAAGAGCCGCGGUAAUACGGAGNAUCCGAGCGUUAUCCGGAUUUAUUGGGUUUAAAGGGAGCGUAGAUGGAUGUUUAAGUCAGUUGUGAAAGUUUGCGGCUCAACCGUAAAAUUGCAGUUGAUACUGGAUAUCUUGAGUGCAGUUGAGGCAGGCGGAAUUCGUGGUGUAGCGGUGAAAUGCUUAGAUAUCACGAAGAACUCCGAUUGCGAAGGCAGCCUGCUNAGCUGCAACUGACAUUGAGGCUCGAAAGUGUGGGUAUCAAACAGGAUUAGAUACCCUGGUAGUCCACACGGUAAACGAUGAAUACUCGCUGUUUGCGAUAUACUGCAAGCGGCCAAGCGAAAGCGUUAAGUAUUCCACCUGGGGAGUACGCCGGCAACGGUGAAACUCAAAGGAAUUGACGGGGGCCNGCACAAGCGGAGGAACAUGUGGUUUAAUUCGAUGAUACGCGAGGAACCUUACCCGGGCUUAAAUUGCAGAUGAAUUACGGUGAAAGCCGUAAGCCGCAAGGCAUCUGUGAAGGUGCUGCAUGGUUGUCGUCAGCUCGUGCCGUGAGGUGUCGGCUUAAGUGCCAUAACGAGCGCAACCCUUGUUGUCAGUUACUAACAGGUUAUGCUGAGGACUCUGACAAGACUGCCAUCGUAAGAUGUGAGGAAGGUGGGGAUGACGUCAAAUCAGCACNGCCCUUACGUCCGGGGCUACACACGUGUUACAAUGGGGGGUACAGAGGGCNGCUACCACGCGAGUGGAUGCCAAUCCCCAAAACCUCUC